GACGAACGCUGGCGGCGUGCUUAACACAUGCAAGUCGAACGGAAAGGCCCUGCUUUUGUGGGGUGCUCGAGUGGCGAACGGGUGAGUAACACGUGAGAACCUGCCCUUGACUUUGGGAUAACUUCAGGAAACUGGGGCUAAUACCGGAUAGGAGCUCCUGCUGCAUGGUGGGGGUUGGAAAGUUUCGGCGGUUGGGGAUGGACUCGCGGCUUAUCAGCUUGUUGGUGGGGUAGUGGCUUACCAAGGCUUUGACGGGUAGCCGGCCUGAGAGGGUGGCCGGCCACAUUGGGACUGAGAUACGGCCCAGACUCCUACGGGAGGCAGCAGUGGGGAAUAUUGCACAAUGGGCGGAAGCCUGAUGCAGCAACGCCGCGUGCGGGAUGACGGCCUUCGGGUUGUAAACCGCUUUCGCCUGUGACGAAGCGUGAGUGACGGUAAUGGGUAAAGAAGCACCGGCUAACUACGUG
rnacentral:rRNA from 1 species